AGAGUUUGAUCCUGGCUCAGAAUCAACGCUGGCGGCGUGCCUAACACAUGCAAGUCGAACGCGAAAGGGGCUUCGGUCCUGANUANAGUGGCGAACGGGUGAGUAACACGUGGGUGAUCUACCUUCNAGUGGGGGAUAACGUCCCGAAAGGGACGCUAAUACCGCACGACGUUCUGGGUUUAAAGACCCGGAAACCAAAGCCGGGGACCGCAAGGCCUGGCGCUUGAAGAGGAGCCCGCGUCCGAUUAGCUAGUUGGCGGGGUAACGGCCCNCCAAGGCGACNAUCGGUAGCCGGCCUGAGAGGGNGGACGGCCACNCUGGAACUGANACNCGGUCCANACUCCUACGGGAGGCAGCANUGGGGAAUUGUUCACAAUGGGCGCAAGCCUGAUGACGCAACGCCGCGUGGGGGAUGAAGGUCUUCGGGUUGUAAACCACUGUCGGGAGGGACGAAAGACUCUGGAGCUAAUCAUCCGGAGAGUGACGGUACCUCCAAAGGAAGCACCGGCUAACUCUGUGCCANCAGCCGCGGUAAUACAGAGGGUGCNAGCGUUGUCCGGAAUCACUGGNCGUAAAGGGCGCGUAGGCGGCCCGAUAAGUAGGGGGUGAAAUCUUGCGGCUCAACCGCAAGGC
rnacentral:rRNA from 1 species